AAAUUGAAGAGUUUGAUCAUGGCUCAGAUUGAACGCUGGCGGCAGGCCUAACACAUGCAAGUCGAACGGUAACAGGAAGCAGCUUGCUGCUUCGCUGACGAGUGGCGGACGGGUGAGUAAUGUCUGGGAAACUGCCUGAUGGAGGGGGAUAACUACUGGAAACGGUGGCUAAUACCGCAUAACGUCGCAAGACCAAAGAGGGGGACCUUCGGGCCUCUUGCCAUCAGAUGUGCCCAGAUGGGAUUAGCUUGUUGGUGAGGUAACGGCUCACCAAGGCGACGAUCCCUAGCUGGUCUGAGAGGAUGACCAGCCACACUGGAACUGAGACACGGUCCAGACUCCUACGGGAGGCAGCAGUGGGGAAUAUUGCACAAUGGGCGCAAGCCUGAUGCAGCCAUGCCGCGUGUAUGAAGAAGGCCUUCGGGUUGUAAAGUACUUUCAGCGGGGAGGAAGGUGUUGCGGUUAAUAACCGCAGCAAUUGACGUUACCCGCAGAAGAAGCACCGGCUAACUCCGUGCCAGCAGCCGCGGUAAUACGGAGGGUGCAAGCGUUAAUCGGAAUU
rnacentral:rRNA from 2 species